AACUUUCUUAAGAUAUAAAGUUUGAUCAUCAGAUUAAUACCCAAGCAUUUAUUAUUGAAUGUUAUUGGAGCGCCUGUACUUGUACCAAACUGGAUUAUUAUUUUGCUUUUGGUGGUGAUGGGCAGAUCAACACUGUGCAUUUAUUAUUGAAUUUUAUUGGAGCGCCUGUACUUGUACCAAACUGGAUUAUUAUUUUGCUUUUGGUGAUGGGCAGAUCAACACUGUGCAUUUAUUAUUGACUGUUAUUGGAGCUCCUGUAUUUUUUCAAACUGGAUUAUUAUUUUGUUUUUGGUGAUGGGCAGAUCAACACUA